AAUUUCACUACAUUGGAAUACUAUUCCAAAUUUUGCACUCCAUACGUUGAAGUAUAUUCUUAAACGUAUAGAGUUGAUCAAAAUGUUCUGCUAUUAAGCCAUUAAACGUUUUACAAUACGAGCUACCAUCUUGAUAAAAUUAUAUAUCUAAACUUUCUUAUGUAUCAGUUUGUAUUUCAAGAAACCACCACAUUAUCAGUCAUCACAUUUCUCAAUACAGGCGCGCACAUAUACCACGCUUACAAACCAAUUUAAUAUUUGCAUAUAAAUAUUUGAAAUAGGUCGUAAUGCCAAUUAUGUGUAUGUACUCAUAAAUGUUAUUUCAAAGUAUCAAUGUCUGUUUUUCUCUGUGUUUAAUAUAAGAUAGUUUUGAUAUCAUAUUUAUCAAGGUAGCCCUGAUUGUAAAACGUAUGAAUCGAGAAGCUCGUCCCUCAACCCUUACAGCAUGAAGUUCCCAAUUUAUUAAGUACAAAUUUGACCAAACUUGAAGAGUUUAUUCGAAACCAAUCAUCUUCAAAUAAAAUCCAUAUUUUAUUUUAACUCAGGUCUCAAUCAUUCAACCACUGAUGUCAUAAACUGACACUCGACAGCUUGAAAAUAUCGUCAGGGUAAAAAAAAUCCCGCGUUCUACAUUGACUUUACCUCUCGUAUAUUCCAGCUUUGGAAUAAAAUUUCUACCAGGUUUUUUGACCAAUAGUAGUAUGAGGCUCUUCAAGAAGAAAGACUUACAGAUUUUUUAGAACUGGCACAGAAGAAUAAAUUGGAACACUUGCUGCAGGGCAGAGGGGAUACUAGUCUUCGACAGGCCAAUCAUUAAGGCCUCGAUUUAUGAUUUCUCUAUCUCUGAAUUUGUUCAAUAGUUAUUUACUGGUAAAAUACGAGUUUAUAAAGAUGGUGUUCACUGUUCACACAUUCUCCGAUAUAUUAUGUCUAAAGGAUCGACGGGACGUU